rnacentral:misc_RNA from 1 species
AUGAACGACAUGGAAGCCUACGGGGAUGGAUACAUGGCACCGGAGGAGGAAUGGGAGAGGGAGGGUCUCUUGGACCCCGCCUGGGAGAAACAGCAGAAAAAGACAUUCACAGCUUGGUGCAACUCGCAUCUACGCAAAGCAGGCACUGCCAUCGAAUCGAUCGAAGACGAUUUCAGAAAUGGGUUGAAACUGAUGUUGCUGCUGGAGGUGAUCUCAGGCGAGACCCUUCCGAGACCCGACAGAGGCAAAAUGAGGUUCCACAAGAUCGCCAAUGUGAACAAGGCCCUCGAUUAUAUCGCCAGCAAGGGCGUCAAGCUGGUUUCAAUUGGCGCGGAAGAAAUCGUGGACGGCAACUUGAAAAUGACCUUGGGAAUGAUAUGGACCAUUAUUUUGAGAUUCGCCAUUCAAGAUAUCUCCGUGGAAGAGAUGACUGCGAAGGAAGGAUUGCUGCUCUGGUGCCAGCGUAAGACAGCACCGUACAAGAACGUCAAUGUUCAAAACUUCCAUUUGUCCUUCAAAGACGGUCUCGCGUUCUGCGCUCUUAUCCAUCGUCAUCGACCCGACUUGAUCGACUACAACAAACUCAGCAAGGACAAUCCGCUGGAGAAUCUGAACACUGCCUUUGAUGUCGCUGAAAAGUAUCUCGACAUUCCUCGCAUGUUGGACCCCGACGAUUUGAUCAACACUCCCAAGCCGGAUGAGCGAGCUAUCAUGACGUACGUGUCCUGCUACUACCACGCGUUCCAAGGUGCCCAGCAGGCAGAGACGGCGGCUAACAGAAUCUGCAAGGUACUGAAGGUGAAUCAAGAGAACGAGCGUCUCAUGGAGGAGUAUGAGCGUUUGGCUUCCGAUUUGCUCGAGUGGAUACGACGAACGAUGCCGUGGCUCGCGAAUCGGCAGACCGACAACUCCCUUGCUGGCUGUCAGAAGAAGCUGGAGGAGUACAGGACGUAUCGGCGCAAGCACAAGCCGCCGCGCGUCGAACAGAAAGCCAAGUUGGAAACGAACUUUAAUACUCUGCAGACGAAGCUGAGGCUGAGCAACAGACCGGCGUACAUGCCGACGGAAGGGAAAAUGGUGUCUGACAUAAAUAAAGCGUGGAGAGGCCUGGAGCUAGCCGAGAAAACGUUCGAGGACUGGUUAUUGUCCGAGAUGAUGCGUCUGGAGCGACUGGAGCAUCUGGCGCAGAAGUUCAAGCACAAGGCGGACGCGCACGAGGAGUGGACCGCCGGAAAAGAAGAGAUGCUCACGUCCCAACACUUCCGGCAAUGCAAGCUGAAUGAACUGAAGGCUCUGAAGAAGAAGCACGAGGCCUUCGAAUCGGACCUCGCGGCCCAUCAGGAUCGCGUGGAGCAGAUCGCGGCAAUCGCUCAAGAACUCAACACCCUCGAGUAUCACGACAGUGCGUCCGUAAACGCCAGGUGCCAACGUAUUUGCGAUCAAUGGGAUCGUUUGGGCACUCUCACUCAACGCAGGCGUCAAGCUCUCGACGAAGCUGAGAAAAUCCUGGAGAAGAUCGACGUCUUGCAUUUGGAAUUCGCCAAACGCGCUGCUCCGUUCAACAACUGGCUGGACGGAACCAGAGAGGAUCUGGUGGACAUGUUUAUCGUCCAUACGAUGGAGGAAAUCCAAGGUCUGAUGGACGCGCACGCUGCGUUCAAAGCCACUCUCGGAGAAGCGGAUAAGGAGUACAAUUCGAUUGUGGGAUUGGUGCGCGAAGUCGAGUCCAUAGUCAAGCAGUACCAGAUCCCCGGCGGCUUGGAGAAUCCUUACACCACUCUUACCGCGCUGGAUCUUACCAAGAAAUGGAGCGACGUUAGACAAUUAGUUCCUCAGCGCGAUGGUACUCUGGCCGCUGAACUCCGCAAACAACAAAAUAAUGAAUUGCUUAGACGACAAUUCGCCGAAAAGGCCAAUGUCGUCGGACCAUGGAUAGAACGUCAAUUGGAUGCUGUAACUGCAAUUGGUCUCGGUCUUCAAGGAACUCUGGAAGAUCAAUUACAUCGUCUGAAAGAAUACGAGCAGGCGGUGUAUCAAUACAAGGCCCAUCUUGAAGAAUUGGAGAAGAUCCACCAAGCGGUUCAGGAAGGCAUGAUCUUCGAAAAUCGCUACACUCAGUACACCAUGGAGACGCUGCGUGUCGGUUGGGAACAGCUUCUGACUUCAAUCAAUCGUAACAUUAACGAAGUUGAAAAUCAAAUCCUUACUCGAGAUUCGAAGGGCAUUACCCAGGAGCAGCUGAAUGAAUUCCGCAGUAGUUUCAACCACUUCGACAAGAACAGGACAGGCAGAUUGGCACCGGACGAGUUUAAAUCGUGCCUUGUGUCUCUGGGAUACUCCAUUGGAAAGGACAGACAGGGCGACAUUGACUUCCAACGAAUCCUGGCCAUUGUUGAUCCUAACAAUUCGGGUUACGUGCACUUCGACGCUUUCCUUGAUUUCAUGACACGCGAAUCCACCGACACCGACACAGCGGAACAAGUCAUCGAUAGCUUCCGCAUUCUCGCCGGCGACAAGCCUUACAUCUUACCGGACGAGCUGAGGAGAGAAUUGCCGCCGGAUCAGGCGGAAUAUUGUAUCCAGCGAAUGCCUCCGUUCAAAGGACCGAGCGCCGUUCCUGGAGCACUGGACUACCGUUCCUUCUCGACGGCUUUAUACGGUGAAUCUGAUCUAUAGAUGAACAAUAAUAAUAUCAAAAUUGAUAUUAUUCAACAUCGAGUAAUAUCGAAAAAACAAAAAAAAAAAAAGCGGACGUUUGUCAGCUGACACAUGCAUUGGCUGACGAACGAACGACGCCUAAAAAUUUCACCUAUUGUUUUAGUAUUCUAACGCAACAGUGUAUUUUCAUGUGGCGAUACGUUUUACGAAAACCAAGCUCAGUAUGAGAGAGUACAAUACGUACGAUAUCAGUCACUACGCUAUAUAAAUGUUAAUAAUUGUACGUGCGCAUUACAUACUAGAGGCUGCUGGAAUAUCGAGACUGUCAAGAAAGUAAGCGAUGUGUCGUUUUAACGUAAAGGGAUCUAAGUGUGUCGUAGAGAACAGACGAAAAGUAGAUGCUUAUUCCGAAUAGAAUAUCUUCAUAAGGAUGGAAAUCACAUAUCACGAAGAAGUAAGAUUACGUACUUAUGUAAGUCUACAUUAACGCGACAAUAAUGGAUAUCGUAUUUGGAUACCUUUCGUUAAAAGGAUAGAAACCCUACGCUAGAACGAGACAAUUUGGAUUUGACAUUUUUUUUUCUUCGGGAAGUGCCAACGAUAAAUAGAAUGUACGAUUCCCCUCUCUCUGCGACGUUUCCGGAAAGGAAUCGGAUUCUUAAGCCGUACUUGAGAUCGGCAGUUACACCAAAACUUCAUAUAAUUGGAUAUGUGCAGUUAGUGAGUGCAUUGAUGCUAGAGGCUCUCCGAAUUAUUGCUACUAGUAAGUCCAAUAAUACUAUUUUCUCUAUAUAUUGGAGUAUUUAUUCAAAAGUUCUAUAUUCUACAUUUUGUAUGAUCAUAUAGCGAAAGAAUACAUAUAUAUAUAUAUAUUUUUAGACUUGUGAUUUUGCCAUUGUAGCGUGAUACGAAUUUAACAAUGUUUUUAGAUUGGAUUUUUCUGACGGAAUCCAUUGUAUCUUUGCUAUAUUCUAUAAUCGUAUCGUAUAUUUGUCAACAGUUUUUAAGUGUGCCCCUUUAAAGAUCGUCAAAUUCUGUAUCGCGUAUCAGGUGCACACACGCGUAUCAUAAAGCGUUAACGUUCGGUUCACGCCAUAGAUCAAUGUUCGCACAAACAUCCGGAAAAACUCAGAAGAGUGAUAAUAACGAACUUUACGAGUCUUGACGAUACAUGAAUCGACCUACUCGCUAAGUAUCCAGAAAACGUACGCUCGAAAUCGAAUAAUGUCCAUAUUUUUUUAAUGAGCGCGGCACUACGAAUCCUUAAACGAUAAGCCGUCGCCUUUGUAAAUCGUAUAUGAAGGAUACGCGCGAAACGAAUACGCUGAACGAAGCAAAUUAUUUAUUUAUUUGACUUUAAUAAUUAUUUAUUAUAUUGCUCCGAUAUUAAAUCGAUUUUACGGUAGUAAACGAAAUACUUUUCUCAAAGUAUUUAUUUUUAUAAAUAUAUUCGCGAAGAGCGAUAAGGCGCUAUUUGUAAUAUAGAAUCCAUUGUGUAAAUCUCCAGACCACAGCCGCUCUUUCUCGUAUCAUGUUUCAAAAAGAACGUAGCCUUAUCUAAACGAUGUCAAAAAGUCUGGUCAUCAUUAUGGUUUAAAUCAUCGUAAAAGUCAUUCUCUCGAUAUAAAUGCUCGUGUGUGAAAUGCAAUUACUUUUAUCGGCAAAAAUAUACUGCAAGUCCUUUGUUUCGCUUGUUGCGGCUUUAAUACGCUUGUCAAUGUCUAUCUUAAUGCGUUUUUUUUUUCUUUUUUGAGAGAGAGUUUACUUAAUUUUUUCUUCUGUUUUUUUUUUUUCUCUUUCGGAGUAUAUUAUAUAUUAGGAGGCACACGGAGACGAGUAAUAUACGAGAAACAUAUGCCAAAGCGGAAAACUUUCUGCUGCAAUACUAUACAUAUAAAUAAACGAUAAACGCACACACGCACUUUCUCACAUAUACAUGUACACAAAAAGUAUACGUAAUAUCAAAAAGGAGAGCCUAUACUUUGUAACAUACGUAUAUACGUAUUCGAUCUAUUGCGAUAAUGUCAAAGAAAUGUCGAGAAAUCAAUGUCUUCGAACACUUUGUUACUGAGCAAUCGUCAUACGUUGUUAUACGAAUACAUUCUUAUUCAUACAACAUA